rnacentral:RNase_P_RNA from 1 species
GGUCUGUCGCUUGCCUGUAUAGGCAAGAGGAACGUCCGGGCAACACAGGGCACCAUAUUUCCUAACGGGAAGCUGUUCGUGAGGGCAGAGUAGCGUAACAGAAAAGAACCGCCGGGCUUGCCCGGUAAGGGUGAAAAGGUGAGGUAAGAGCUCACCGGGUCUUCCAGCAAUGGAGGAUGCCGUACGUCUUAUGGGUUGUAAGGUCAUGUAUAUCGACGCAAGUAGGGUUGCCCGCCCGAUGUCGAGGGGUGGACCGCUAAAGCUUGUCGGUGACGGCAAGACGAGAUAAAUGGCAGACGCUUGUUCUUUUUCGGAAGAGUGAGUACAGAACCCGGCUUAUAGGUUGACUG